rnacentral:rRNA from 1 species
UAAAGGUAUUCCGGUAGACGAUGGGGAUGCGUUCCAUUAGAUAGUAGGCGGGGUAACGGCCCACCUAGUCUUCGAUGGAUAGGGGUUCUGAGAGGAAGGUCCCCCACAUUGGAACUGAGACACGGUCCAAACUCCUACGGGAGGCAGCAGUGAGGAAUAUUGGUCAAUGGGCGAGAGCCUGAACCAGCCAAGUAGCGUGAAGGAUGACUGCCCUAUGGGUUGUAAACUUCUUUUAUAAAGGAAUAAAGUCGGGUAUGGAUACCCGUUUGCAUGUACUUUAUGAAUAAGGAUCGGCUAACUCCGUGCCAGCAGCCGCGGUAAUACGGAGGAUCCGAGCGUUAUCCGGAUUUAUUGGGUUUAAAGGGAGCGUAGAUGGAUAUUUAAGUCAGUUGUGAAAGUUUGCGGCUCAACCGUAAAAUUGCAGUUGAUACUGGAUAUCUUGAGUGCAGUUGAGGCAGGCGGAAUUCGUGGUGUAGCGGUGAAAUGCUUAGAUAUCACGAAGAACUCCGAUUGCGAAGGCAGCCUGCUAAGCUGCAACUGACAUUGAGGCUCGAAAGUGUGGG